rnacentral:rRNA from 1 species
GUCUACGUCUAUGCCACCCUGAAUGUGCCCAAUCCUGUCCGAUAUCGGAAGCUAAGCGAGGUCGGGCCUGGUUAGUACUUGGAUGGGAGACCACCUAGGAAGACCAGGUGCUGUAGGCG